AGAAGAAACACAUGUCGUCUGGCCUCAUUCUUUGACGCAGAUAGUUUUGCACCUCGCCAAACUCACUGGAACGCCCAACCAUCUCCACACUAGUAUCAAUAUUUGACGAAACAUCAUCAUCGUCAUCAUCAUCUUGUUGAGUUGGGAGGCACCAUCAUGGAAUUCGAGAACAUCUUCUAAUUUAUGUGCAGCGUCUCUUAUUAGCCCUUCCAAAGGAUCCAACCACUUGCUGCUGCGAUGGUUGGAUUUUUCGAGAGCGUAUUGGAGGCACCUGCACGAUAAGUGUGCAAGUUUUAAGUUAUCUCGAAUGGAGGAGACAUGGGAAAUCGGAGAAGAAUCUAGAAGGCCAUCUAUUGUGUGCUUAAGAGAAACAACAGCAGCGUAAGCCAUCCCUGCCUGCUUUCACUCCGCUGCUAAUCAGCUUGUGUUUGGAUUGAAAGAGUUUUGGAUAAAUGCAAACGUACUUACACCAGAUUUGUUUGUGGUUGUUUUUGUGGAGACGGUAUGAGAGCCACUUUUUGCUUUUUUAAAGCCGCUUUAAUUUGGAAAAAGACUCCCAAAAUGGAAUGUAUAUAGACGGUGGCUUGCUGGUGGUGGUCGGGCCAGCAUGUUUGUAGUUUAAUUUCUUCGAAUUUUUGGAUAUAGAAAUUAGAGAAAUUGAUGUUGCAAGACUCGAACAGAAAGAAUGGAGGAAAGGAGAAUUUGAGUGCAAUUUAUGCUUCAAGUAAAUCGUAUUCAAGCACAUGGUUUGUUUU